AUAUGGUCAUAUACACACGAAUUACUCUACACAGAGAAUACUCAUCACUUCUCCCUUUUUUUUUUUUAAACAUGGGGUUUCUCCAUGAUGGUCAGGCUGGUCUUAAACUCCUGACCUCAGGUGAUCCACCCACCUCGGCCUCCCAAAGUGCUAGGAUUACAGGUGUGAGCCACCACGCCCAGCCACUUUUGCAUUUUUUGUGCCCUUUUUUCGUUUUCUGUUUUUUAAACAAGGUCUGGGACUCUUGCCCAUUCUGGAAUGCAGUGGUACAGUCUCUACUCACUGCCACCUCCACCUCUCACCUCAGCCUUCUGAAUAGCUGUCUACAGGGACAUACCCCCUGCCAUCUGGCUACCUUUUGUAUUUUUACAGAUGAGGGUUCACCAUGUUUCCCAGGUUCAUCUCUAACUCCUGAGCAUAAGUGAUCCUCCUGUUUUGGCCUGCUUGGGUGCUGUGAUUGGAGAUCAUUUUAGAUUCCAUUUUGGAUGCUCCCAUCUGGACUUGUGUCCCUGUGCUGGAACUAAGUGACCACUUGCCUCAACGUCCAUUGCUGUUCUCUUCAAAUCCAGACCCAUUCUCUUGGUUACGUAUAAGAUUCCAUUUGGGUCCUUUCCUAAGGACUGUGUGUGUCCCUGUGCUGGAACUCAAGUGAACACUUGGCUCAACAUCCAUCGCUGUUCUUGGGAAAUGCAGGCCAGUCUCUUCAUUAAAUAUGAGGACUGAUGUCCGUGUGCUGGAACCCAGGUGAACACUUGGCUCAAAAUCCUUUGCUGUUCUCUAGGAAUUCAGCCUAAUUCUCGUGGUUAAAGAUAAGACUCCGUUAUGGAUGCUUCCAUAGAGACGGUGUGUCCCUGUGCUGGAGCUCAGGUGAACACUUGGCUCAACAUCCAUCGCUCUUCUCUAGAAAUCCUGUGCAGUUCUCUUGGUUACAUAUAAGGAGGUGGUCCUGCUGAUCCCUAGGGGUGCUCCUUCCAGGGGUUCGUAUUCCGGCUUCCAGGAAAUAUGCAAGCAGGGACUGAUGUCCGUGUGCUGGAACCCAGGUGAACACUUGGCUCAAAAUCCUUUGCUGUUCUCCAGGAAUUCAGCCUAAUUCUCUGGUUAAAGAUAAGACUCCGUUAUGGAUGCUUCCAUAGAGACGGUGUGUCCCUGUGCUGGAGCUCAGGUGAACACUUGGCUCAACAUCCAACGCUCUUCUCUAGAAAUCCUGUGCCGUUCUCUUGGUUACAUAUAAGGAGGUGGUCCUGCUGAUCCCUAGGGGUGCUCCUUCCAGGGGUUCGUAUUCCGGCUUCCAGGAUAUAUGCAAGCAGGAUACAAAACUCAGGAGGAUUGCCCCUUGAUGAAGAAGGCUAAACCUGCUGAACCUUUGAAGGAUGGGACCUGGAGAUAAUCCAUUUAGGGGUUGAUGUCGCGGAUUUCAGGAAACACGCAAACAGCGCAGGCGGAGUUUUACCCUCGUCACCGAGGCUGGAGUGCAAUGGCGUGAAUCUGGGCUCACUGCAACCGCUGCCUCCCGAGUUCAAGUGAUUUUCCUGUUUCAGCCUCUAGAGUCGCUGGGAUUACAGUAUCUCAGAUUCCAUUUUGGAUGCUUCCAUAAGGACCGUGUCCCUGUGCUGGAACUCAAGCGCACACUGGCUCCAAAUCCAGUGCUCCUCUCUUGAAAUCCAGCCAGUGCUCAUGCUUACAUGUAAGGUGUGGACGAAGUCUCGCUCUGUCGCCAGGCUGGAGCACAAUGGCGAGAUCUCAGCCUAUCGCAACCUCCACCUCCCAGGUUGAAGCGAUUUUCCUGUCUCAGCUUCCAGAGUAGCUGAAACUACAGGUGUGGAUGAAAUCUUGCGCUGUUGUCAGGCUGGAGUGCAAUGGCGGGAUCUCAGCUUAUUACAGCCUCCGCCUCCCAGGUUCAAGCCAUUCUCCUGCCUCAGCCUCCCGAGGAGCUGAAACUACAGGUGCGCACCACUAUGCCGAGCUAAUUUUUGUAUUUUUAGUAGAAACAUGGUUUCACUAUGUUGUCCACGAUGGUCUCCACGUCUCAACCUUGUGAUUCACUCACUUGGGCCUCCCAAAGUGUUGGGAUUACAGGCAUCAGCCACCGAGUCCAGCCGAUUAUUUUGUAUUUAGUAUAGGGGGUCUCAGUACGUUAACCAGGUCGGAUUACAGCUUCUGACCUCAAGUGAUGCGUUCGCCUCCGCCUUCCACAGUGUGGUGAACAGGUGUGAGCCAUCAUCCCGGUCUUGUGUAUUUCGGUUCAAAAUGUACUCAGAAUCUUUUAUGCUUAGCUUGUGGUCUAUACCGGAGGAUGUUUGUGUGUAUGACAAUGUAUAUUCUUCAACAUCUUAGAUUCCAUUUUGGAUACUUUCAGAGAGACGGGAUGUCCCUGUACUGGAACUCGGGUGAACACUUGGCUCAAAAUCUAUUGCUGUUCUCUAGAAAAUCAGGCAAUGCUUAUGGGUAAAGAUAAUGUAUGUCUAGUAGGCAUUCCUUUUUCUCUUUGGAAACAAAACUCAGGAGCAUGAGCCACUUUAUGAAUAAGGCUAACCUGCUGAGCCUUUGGAACAGUGACCAAAGGAUGGUUCUCUUAGGUGUUCGUGUUCUGAAUUCCAGAAAACGUGCAAACAGGGCCAAAGAUGCAGAUGAACGCAUCUUUAUUUUUGUGUCCAGCUUAAUGCGGUCAAGGAGACUUCCAACAAGAAACCCCAGAGUC